ACUCCCGCAUGCCCCGCAUCCAUCACACGCCCGCCUGCUGCCGCUGGGUCGCAGACGGGCAGGGAGGCCGGCUCAGUGGGGGCAGCCGCGCUCUCCUGCCCCCCGACCUGCCCCUCUCUGGGGGCGUCUGGGUUCAGCCGCCCAGCAGACGCAAGGUGGGCUCACAUCUCUGUCCCAGCUUUCAGCCAAGCUUCCGGAGGGUCCCAUUUGGACGAGGUGAGGAGGCCCCCACCCAGAAAGCCCAGGUCUUUGGUCAGAGAAGGUGCGCGAGGGUUUAAGUUCAGCGGGGCCGACACCCAGUGCCCUUCCUGUCUUAACCCCCCUCCUCCCCGCCCGAUGCAGCAAACGUUUCUUGGGAAAAAGGCCCAGGCUGGGUGACGCCAGGAGGGGCUCUAGAGCUGGAGCCUGGAGAGGGGGCCACGGGUGCAUCCAGGUGGCAUCCAGGUGAGGCCGGGGUUCCGGGCAGACACUCCGCCCCUGCCCCUCCGCCCGGGGUAGUGUCUUGCCCCCUGGCAGGUCCCAGACCUGAGAGGCGGUGUCUGGGACCGGGGCCACCAGGACCGAACGUGUCCCGGGCUGGCCCAGCACAGUCUGGGGUCCAAGAGCCCCAGGGGCAGGGAGAGGGCUUCCCCAGCACGGCGGGGAGUGGAUCCGGAGCCGCACCUCCACACGCAGGAGAGACAAGCUGGGGACCCCGAGGCUCCGGUCAGGGCAGGACUUAACUCUGAGCCCUGACCGUGGGAGAGGCAGUGGUGAAGCCAGGAUGGGAAGGAGUUCCCUCCACCGCGAGCCCCGUGGUCGGCAGGUGAGCUGAGCCCAGUCCACAGGGGGCGGGCCCAUGCCCGUGCCCUCACACACGUCUCUCCACCACCCCCGACAUGCAGGCACCCCUGUCACAGGCUGUCCGGGACCCCACAGCAGCCCCCAGCCUCCAUGGCCCCGGGCCCAUGGCUCUGACUCCAGGACCCCAGUGUCUGACCUGGGCAGGCUCAGGUUUCUUACAAUGCACACAGAUUUGUUUGCUUAUCAGGAAAAGAAACAAAAGACAAACGUGAAGAAAUCCUGGGGAGGAAUGAAGGUGGGAACUGUCCUCUGUGAGCGACCUCCGAUCUCGAAACCUGAGCCAGCUAACCCGUCACUGGUGCGAGGGGCUGAGCAGCCACCUGCCCUGCCACCCACCAGCCUCCCUGCUGGCCCUGGAGGAGGUGGGCUCUGGACCAGCCUGGUCAACCCCCGAGGCUGGCACGCGGUUGGGCACUCUCCCUUGGAACGGACACCAAGCAGCGACAGUUCCCGGGUGUGAGUUAGCUCUCGGGGGAUGCCCGCCAGCCAGUUGACUUGGAGCCUCAAGAUGUGGGGUUUUGGCCCCACUCACCCCCCAACACACCUCCGGGCCUCAAUGUCCCCUUCUUUAAAUGGAGAAGGCUGGUCUCGGUGACCUGGAAGAUACCUGCCGGUCCCACAUGAAAUCCUGUGACCCUAAGGAAGGUGGGCGGGCAGGGAGAUACCCCUGGUUGCCCCAGGAAGUCAUACCUGAGUGGCUUUUAGAUCAUAGGGGUCAACCUUUCUGUCCCCUUUGAAGUAUUUAUCGAGCUCGUGUUUGCGGAGGGCUGACCGCGGGCCAGGAGUUGUCCACGCACUUCUCAGCACUGUCUCACUUAAUGUUCCACAGACCUACCGGGCCCUUGUAUUGUCUCCAGUUUAUAGCUGUGGGAACCCAGGCACAGAGAGGUUAGGCUGUCUGCUUGAGGUCACACAGCUGUCAGCACGCUCCUGCCUGAUCUCCAACCCGGGGCUCCCAGGGAGCUGCAAAGUGCUCCUUUAAGCUUUGGGGCGGGGGGGGUCUCACUGUCAGGAACCGGGGCAGCCUAUCUUAACAUGCAGGCCAGAAGACCUCCCAGAAUCUCAUGAGCCCACCAAGGCCUCCCACAAAACUCCGUGGACACCCAAAACCUAAUGAUAUUUGUAGAAAUCCUUUCCAAAGCAGCUGUUCAAAUAAGGCGCCUCGUUAGUCAAGAAGCUGGCGUGGUCGGGGAACACACAACAGCUGGGUUCUUUUUCCUUCUUGCUCAAAUCGGGGUAUUAUUUUUCAAAGCAGACCGGCAGUUCGAGUCCUUGACGGGAAGCUCCACCCCGCCCCUCCAUUGGGCACCUAAUCCUCUAAUGCCCUUUAUCAAGCGCCCAGUCGUUUAAAGUGUUAUUAAAUGCCGUUUUUUUGGAUUAUAAUUUUUACUCUUGAUUAUUUGAUGACUAUAUAAUCAAAUAUUCAUUGGAUAAUGAUGAUUAAAAUAUAUAAUCCCCCA
rnacentral:lncRNA from 1 species